UGAACGCUAGCGGCAGGCCUAACACAUGCAAGUCGAGGGGUAACAGAGAAGCUUGCUUCUGCUGACGACCGGCGCACGGGUGCGUAACGCGUAUGCAACCUACCUCAUACUGGAGAAUAGCCCUUGGAAACGAGGAUUAAUACUCCAUGGUAUCAUUCUUUCGCAUGUUAGAAUGAUUAAAGAAUUUCGGUAUGAGAUGGGCAUGCGUCCCAUUAGCUUGUUGGUGAGGUAACGGCUCACCAAGGCAACGAUGGGUAGGGGGCCUGAGAGGGUGGUCCCCCACACUGGUACUGAGACACGGACCAGACUCCUACGGGAGGCAGCAGUGAGGAAUAUUGGUCAAUGGAGGCAACUCUGAACCAGCCAUGCCGCGUGAAGGAUGACGGCCCUAUGGGUUGUAAACUUCUUUUAUAUGGGAAGAAACUUAUCUACGUGUAGAUAACUGACGGUACCAUACGAAUAAGGAUC
rnacentral:rRNA from 1 species